GGGCAUUUGAGGGGGGUUCCCUCAUUCCAAAGUCAGCACCAGGAGGAAACUCCCACCCAGACGGGAGGCCACUUCUGCAACGACUUUUCCGAAAAUAUAACCGAACAUCCAUGUGACCCACAGCAGUUUCCAAAAAAGGUACCUUUUUUUUUUUUUUUUUUUUUUUUUACUUCACCACUUUCUUCCCCCACACUUCCCUUCCCACCAUCUUUUUUUUUUUCUAAAGAAAAACUGCGUUCCCUCCAGCAAAGAACAGAGCCCCAGGCCACAUCCUUUUACACCUCUUCAAAUCCCUCGGUACAAAGCCUCAGUGGGUGAACUCGCAUUUUAUCACAGAUAUGUCAAUUGCUGGGGAAAGACAAAUGAUGCAACCUCAAACCUGAGCGUGAGACAUCUCUGCUGCCGGCGUAGAAACGUGGAGAGACGCGGCGUGAAUGGUGACGGGAGAGGCUGGAAUGUGGGCCGUGGGGGAAAGGCGAAGGGAAGGCAGCACAGUUCUGUUAAUUAAAAGAAAUUGGAGUCAAGUGACCAUCAGCUGGUGGAGGAUUGUUUGAUUGGUGGGGUCAUGGGGCUUCAGGUAUGCAGAGAGGCUGAGACGGCCAGGAUGCCUCCUCAGUCUCCGCUCCCUUUGCGACACCGAUUGACUCUUUGCAGCAACGUCACUUAAACACGUUGAGGCGCCAUGACGGACGCCGUCUACCCAAGUGGUUUCUGCCAGUAUAGCCAUGGCUUGUACUUGUUUAGCUAAUCUUUUGUGGAAGUGGCUCACAACAGUUGGAAAUAGCUGGCUUAGAAACUGACCCAUAUCACUAUGUCAUAAACUGCGUUUCCUUUUACACCAGAACAUGCUAGGCUGCAUAAUGCUGGGACAUUUUCUAUGUGAUUACUAAUGAUUCGACUCCUACAUUCUCCAUAGUGCAAUAUUUGAUUGUAUCUUGCUAGUCUUACUUAUGAAGUACAUGAACGUUAAUCUUCUUACCUGGUAUAAAGCGUCGACUGCAAGUCCACAAAUAUGCCAUGGGCUGCUAGUCCAUUGGAUUGACAGCAGCUGCCCGUCCAUCAUGACUUCUUUCCUCAUUAAAAGUUAUGCAACAAAAUGACAAGUUUGGUUUGCAUCAUUAUCUGUUUGCAGCAGACCACAUAGCAUCCUAGCCGGCGAAGUUCUGAAGAGUGGGUUUAUCGUAUCGUUUAUCGUUUAUCGGGAUAAAUUUCAUGUCUUGAUAAGAUUUUGAUUUGUCGUUGUCACAAUAAAUUACGAUUAAUGAUGUUUGAAAACCCCUUUGUUAUUAUAACCAGUACAUUUUCUACAUACAUGACUGGUGUCCUUCAGAAGCGUUUUACAAAUAGGUAUGUUUUUCAAGAGCAGCUAUACGGUUCUUACGGUCACUUUUAUUGUUAACACAAUUUUACCACAAAGCGUCAUGAUAAAGCUUUAAGUCCAUAUGAGCAAGCCGUGGCGUGACGUCGUGUGCAGAGGGUCAGUGUUAUAGGGACGGAGUUGGUGUUCCCGUUACGUGUCAGGGCCGGGGCUGGAGCCGACACGGUGCGGCCUCCGCCUGCCGUGCCUCAGGGCUAAUGGGAAAGAAUGACAGGAAUCUGCCACUGAUAAUGCCAAGCUUGGAGAUGUUCGUCAGCAGAUAAUCUCCCAUAUCCUUCCCCUCCCUCAGGCUGCUCUUCUUCUUUCUGCUUGAUCUGCUUGUCCCCUUCUCCCACCCUGCAACCCCCGCCUCUUCAUCAAUGACUCUCAUCUUUGUUGCCCAGAAUAUUUUGAUAGUUUUUCUUUUUUGUUUUUUUUGUUUUUUUGGGUGGGAGUUAAUAACGGAAGUGUUCGCUCUGUCCUCAGAUGGCGUCCGCAGAAGUGUGCCGACUCCCGUCUGCUGCUUCUCGGCUCUCUGGUGACUGUCAGCUGCUCAGUAGGCAGUGUAGAUCCUGUGUAGCAAUCAGCAGCUACAUCUGGCUACUGGGUCUCUGACGGCUCCGCCCACUUCCCGGUCCAAAGUUCUUCCUCUGUCGGCCCGUGGCGCGUUCCCACUCCACCACCGGCUGUGAUUUUGGGGGGCCCGUUCAGUGACGGGAUGCUGUCGGUGUCACAACUCCACCAGGGCCCAUCAUCACAUUUGUUCUUCUUCCUGUUUUGUCAAUGUCAUUUGGCAUCUCUGAGUUUCUGACUUCUGAUUGAAUUCCGUCUACUUUGAUUAAGCUACAAAUGGGCACAUUUCAUAAAAAUGGUGUUGGCGGAUGCCCAAGAAGCCACACUAGGGAGAUAUUUGCUUUGUCCUGAACCUGGCAUACAAUGUAGAUUCCUGUGUGGUUCAAUUCUACAGCUACAUUGUCUGCUGGGUUUCUGGCUAGCAAUAUAAGCUUCUGUGACAUGAAGGUCACCUUUGCUCCAUAAGGUAAGAAUCUAUCUUCUGUGCUGCCAAAAAGUAUUUGGCCCUGUUAAGAUUUAUUCUGCUUUUGUUGUUUUGUGACAUUUAAGUGUUUCAGAUUGUCCAACAAAUGUUAAAGUGGCAGUGUUAUGCGUUUUCCAGGCAUAUAAUGGCAAAGCAACUAUGUUACCUUUAGUUGUUAUAAAAAUGCUGCAUAUAUCAAAUAUGACUUAAAAGAAAUUUGACUUCGCAGUUGAACACUUUAAAAUUGGGCCUGUGUCUCUUUAAGAAGCCCCUACUCGUUCUGAUCCUCCACCUUCAGGAAGUCAUCACAACAUGGCUCCUAUAUUAACCCUUUAACAACAUUUUUAAAAGUGUUGCACUGAGAAGUAACUUGUAAUAAGCUUAGUAGAUGUGCAGCUCCACCAGGUGUUUGCUAACUGCUGCUGCUGCUAGUCUGAAGGAGCCGUCGAAGGCGGCAGUUCCACAAACCCGGAAAGAAAAAUCUGUCUAGACCUCGACAAACUGAGCUGAGUGGUUAAGGGUUCCAGCAACAACAAACUUUGACUAACUGGAAGACAAAUGCUUCUCAAAUAUUCUGUGGCCUGAUGAGACAAGAGUCACAUCUUUUUCAAUGCGUGUCCUUCGCCUAGCUUACAGCGAUCUAUCAUGGCAUUUCAGAAAAACCACACAAUGCCUGCAGUCAGACAUGUGAUGGUCACAGGAAGCCCAUCAGGACGUCCAGCCGUAAAUGGCUAAAAAAUAAAACCAGAGAAAACGAAGGGUUUGGAUUGGACUAGUCAAAGUCUCAUGCUGUUUGUUCUUUAACCCAACACCUCAAUUUAAAAUACUGAUUGCCAGUUAUGAUAAGUAUUAUGGGGUAAUUAUUUUCCAUAACCGUUUUCCCUUAACAGACGAAAUCAUCAUCUGAAAACUGCACUUUGUUUUUACUCGGGUUGUUUUGGUCUGAUAAUCAAAUCUGUUUUUCUUACCUGAAACAUUUAAGUGCAUUAAAAAAAAAGCAGCAUAAACAGAAGAUGUUUUCAUUGCACUGCAUCCUAUCACUGAAAUAUGUCUGACCCUGACGAUUCCAAUAAAGAGAAAAUAUUUCAAAUUAAACUCGCA